AUAACUAUCUGGCAAGGAGGUAAACCGUGAUCAUGGAGAGCAUACCUCAGAUGUGAGGGCCUUCCAUUGCACUUUCAAUGGGAUUNGACUUUCUCCAUUGCUCCAAAUGUGGGUUUCUGGACAGCAUGAUGAAAGUAGGGAGCUGGAUAAUGUUCUUA
rnacentral:snRNA from 1 species